AUACGGAGGAUCCGAGCGUUAUCCGGAUUUAUUGGGUUUAAAGGGUGCGCAGGCGGCCAUUUAAGUCAGCGGUUAAAUCGUGGGGCUCAACCCCAUUCUGCCGUUGAUACUGGGUGGCUUGAUUGCGGUCGAGGUUGGCGGAAUUCGUUGUGUAGCGGUGAAAUGCAUAGAUAUGACGAAGAACACCGAUUGCGUAGGCAGCUGACCAGACCGCAAAUGACGCUCAUGCACGAAAGUGCGGGGAUCGAACAGGAUUAGAUACCCUGGUAGUCCGCACAGUAAACGAUGAAUACUUGUUUUCGGCGAUAUAAUGUCGGAGGCAAAGCGAAAGCGAUAAGUAUUCCACCUGGGGAGUACGCCGGCAACGGUGAAACUUAAAUGAAUCGGCGGGG
rnacentral:rRNA from 1 species